rnacentral:rRNA from 1 species
UACGGAGGGUGCAAGCGUUGCUCGGAAUUAUUGGGCGUAAAGGGUAGGUAGGUGGUCUCAUUUGUCUGGGGUGAAAGCCUUGAGCUUAACUCAAGAAGUGCCCCAGAAACGGUGAGACUAGAGUCCUGGAGAGGGUCGUGGAAUUCCCGGUGUAGCGGUGGAAUGCGCAGAUAUCAGGAGGAACACCGAUGGCGAAGGCAGGUCUCUGGGCCACUACUGACGCUGAGGCGCGAAAGCGUGGGGAGCAAACAGG